CUAGCUGAAUCCGUGAAUUCCAGACCAUCAAGGGGCCAAGCCUCAGGAAACAAGAUGAGUGGGGGGCCGACAAGGUGGCUCAGCAAGUGAGGGUGCUUGCCGCUAAGUGUGAUGACCUGAGUUCAGUCCCCAGACCCCCCGGUGGGAGAAGAGAGCUGACACCUGAAAGGUGACCUCUGCCCUCUGCGUGGGUGUGUACAUACACACAGGUUUUCAGCUGAACACACCUAAUCCUGUACUCCAGUGCCCCCGCCACACCACCACCUACACAGACGCCGAUGGCUGAGUGACGACGUAAAGACUGAUUCUUGCCUCGGAGAUGCGCUCUCUGUAUGAGAUUACCUAGGAGCAAUCCUGGGCCUUUCCCGUGCCCUCAAGACAAGAUUGGAAUUGGGAGUAUGCUGACCCCAGGGAAGGUGGAGAGUCAGGGUCCACACCGAGAUCCACCCAGGACAGGAGGCCAUGAAGGAUCAAGGUCCACGUGACAUUCCCCUGAGAAAUGAGACCAAAAUCAAUUCUACAACACCCGCCCAGACCCCAGCCUGCUAAGCACUGUCUUGAGAGACAUCCACGCCACCCUCUAAUAAGCAUCAGGCAUUUGGGGGCCGCUGGACUGACUGCCCCAUCACUGAGAGGCCACCUGCUCUAUCCCUGGUCAGCAAUUAACAAUGACUCACUCUGCCUUCUAAGUAGAGACUUGAGGUCCCUUCCCAGGAAGUGUGGACAGCCCGGAUCCUCUGGGAACCCGGAGCAGAGCUCUGGAUGGAAAGGGAAUGGAAGACAGGUCAAAUCAGCUGACCCCAGAGGCCGGAGGUCCUGAGCGACCGGUGAGGAGACUGGUGGGUGGCUGAAGCUCCUCUAGGUGCAGAAGGAAAAGUGAAAAUAAGUCAUUCCUCCCAUUAUUGCCAGUUAUUGUCAGUGAUGAGGACGGUAAUUAAGGUGUCAGCCUGCGGCCCGCUCCCCCAGCCCCUUCUCAGAGCCUGGGUCUCAGCAGCCAACGCCAGGCGUGGGAGUGUCGUCCAUCUUCCAUCCUGGACGCCUGUCUUUGCUUGGCUUCUCACUGCACAGCUCUCUGCUGUGGGGGGGGGGGGUGCGCGCGGGUGCAUGUGCCUGAGUCUGCCUGUGUGCAUGCUGGCUGCGGUUCCUCUCACAGAAGCCGCUGGGAAGCAAGCUUGCAGGCCUGCUGGGAGUCCUCCGAGCUCGGCCCUUCCUAGCUCUUUCCCCCUCCCCCUCAUUCUGCUCUCUUCCUCUCUCUGGGCUGUCCACCUCCCCUGGCCCUUCUAGCCUCAACACGUUCUCCUUCUCUGCGUC